GCGGAAUGUUUGAGGGCAGCUGACCUGAACAGACUGAUCCGUCUGCCUGGAAGAUUCUUCUAACUCAGCUGGAGAAUGGCUGCUCAAUAAUGCAGGUUUUGGGGUUCCACAGGCAUGAGCAGGCCAUGGGUCAGGCUGGUUCUGGCAUGGCUGUGGUCGGCCCACUUCCACAGACCACCACCGCAUGCUGUCCAUCUAUCCACCGGAGAUGGCCGCAGUGGGGACCAGGACAAGAGGACAAAUGAGGCCCUGUGUGUCUGAACACUGACCACUUGUAAAUCAGCUGCUAGAUACAAUGUGCUUAUACACAACAUGCUUAUCCUCCUGCCUUGGAAAAUACGUUUU
rnacentral:lncRNA from 1 species